UACGAAGGGGGCUAGCGUUGCUCGGAAUGACUGGGCGUAAAGGGCGCGUAGGCGGUUUGUACAGUCAGGUGUGAAAUUCCCGGGCUCAACCUGGGGGCUGCACCUGAUACGUAGGAACUUGAGUGGGGAAGAGGGUCGUGGAAUUCCCAGUGUAGAGGUGAAAUUCGUAGAUAUUGGGAAGAACACCGGUGGCGAAGGCGGCGACCUGGUCCUUGACUGACGCUGAGGCGCGAAAGCGUGGGGAGCAAACAGG
rnacentral:rRNA from 1 species